AUGAUCAUUUUGACUAUACUUACAUUGUUUACUAGUAUAACGGCUUUAAAAGUGACAAUAUUUUCGGAAUGUAUAGAAAACACUGGUGACGUUUUUCGUUAUUCAAGCCUUUCGUUACAAUCUUGUUCGACACUUUGCGCUCAGCGACCAUGGUGUAAACUAUUGUCUUAUCACAGACGGAUGCAUCUAUGCUCUCUUUACCAAGAAAACUCUGUUUUGGACGAGGAGAACCAGAAUGAUGGCAGUGAACAUAAUACGUGUGCCUACAUUAAAAGGGAAGAUUUGGAAGGAGCGGAGGCCCAGCUAUGUGACGCACUCUGCCCUUACUUAGAUGGUCGGCAUCUCCAAGUUUGUGCAGACAACGCCUGCUACGACCAUGAUUGUUUGCCAAUUGGUACUAAUGUAAAUGGACAAUUGGUUGGCAAUGUAAAUACGGAGGGUGGCGCAAAGACAAUCCAUUGUGACGAGCCAUAUUGGCCGAGAAACGACGUGACGAGAAGCGUUUGCACAAAGGG